AUGAAGUUGAAAUCGCUAGUAAUCACGGAUCAGCAUGCCGUGGUGAAUAUGUACCCGGGCCCUGUACACACCGCCCGUCACACCCUGGGAAUUGGUUUCGCCCGAAGCAUCGGACCAAUGAUCACCCAUGACUUAUGUGUACCACUAGUGCCACAAAGGCCUUUGUUGGUCUUAUUGGCGCAUAACACGGCUGGUUCUUCGACUGGGGUGAAGUCGUAA
rnacentral:rRNA from 1 species